UACGUAGGCAGCAAGCGUUGUUCGGAGUUACUGGGCGUAAAGGGUGUGUAGGCGGUUCUCUAAGUCUGGUGUGAAAUCUCCCGGCUCAACUGGGAGGGUGCGCCGAAAACUGGAGGACUAGAGUGCGGGAUGGGAGAGUGGAAUUCCUGGUGUAGCGGUGAAAUGCGUAGAUAUCAGGAGGAACACCUGUGGUGUAGACGGCUCUCUGGACCGCAACUGACGCUGAGGCACGAAAGCCAAGGGAGCAAACAGG
rnacentral:rRNA from 1 species